rnacentral:antisense_RNA from 1 species
UGCUAUGGGCGGGCCUUGGCUGGGGCACGCUCGCGUGCGCCGGUUUCUUUUGUCACCGGUCUGUCAACCCGGCCUUGCGCCCGCCCACCCCG